GCAUAUCAAUAAGCGGAGGAAAAGAAACCAACANGNAUUGCCCCAGUAGCGGCGAGUGAAGCGGCAAGAGCUCANAUUUGAAAUCGUGUUUCGGCACGAGUUGUAGAGUGUAGGCGGGAGUCUCUGUGGAGCGCGGUGUCCAAGUCCCUUGGAACAGGGUGCCUGAGAGGGUGAGAGCCCCGUAGGGUGCUGCGCGAAGCUUUUGAGGCCCUGCUGACGAGUCGAGUUGUUUGGGAAUGCAGCUCCAAGCGGGUGGUAAAUUCCAUCUAAGGCUAAAUAUUGGCGAGAGACCGAUAGCGAACAAGUACUGUGAAGGAAAGAUGAAAAGCACUUUGAAAGGAGAGUGAAACAGCACGUGAAAUUGUUGAAAGGGAAGGGUAUUGGGCUCGACAUGGGGGGUGCGCACCGCUGUCUCUUGUAGGCGGCGCUCUGGGCGCCCUCUGGGCCAGCAUCGGUUCCUGCUGCGGGAGAAGGGGCUCCGGAAAGUGGCUCUUCGGAGUGUUAUAGCCGGGGCCAGAUGCCGCGUGUGGGGACCGAGGACUGCGGCUUCUGUCUCGGAUGCUGGCAUAACGGCGCAAUACCGCCCGUCUU
rnacentral:rRNA from 1 species